GCGGGACUAAGAGAGAGAGGGAGAGAGGGAGAGAGAGAGACUACUGAACGGCGAAGAAGAAACGCGAGAAUCCGGGGAGAGCCCCCUAGCUUCCUUCGAGCUUCUCCACAAGUUUCGCGCUCUCUCACGCCCAAAUUAUCCUCUGCCGGAUGCUCUCCGAUCAUUGCGCACUAUUUUCGCGGACUGUGAGUGUGCAUCUCCACUCUCUCGCGUUUUUUCAAAGAUUGCACAAAACCAGGAGUGUCGGGUUGGACCACCUCCU
ensembl:ncRNA T10B10.11 ncRNA